rnacentral:rRNA from 1 species
AUACGUAGGUGGCAAGCGUUGUCCGGAAUUAUUGGGCGUAAAGCGCAUGUAGGCGGUGCCUUAAGUCUGUCGUGAAACUGCGGGGCCUAACCCCGUAUGGCGAUGGAAACUGUGGCACUUGAGUGCAGGAGAGGAAAGGGGAACUCCCAGUGUAGCGGUGAAAUGCGUGGAUAUUGGGAAGAACACCGGUGGCGAAGGCGCCUUUCUGGACUUGGCCGGACGCUGAGAGGCGAAAGCCAGGGUAGCGAACGGGAUUAGAUACCCCGGUAGUCCUGGCCGUAAACGAUGGGUACUAGGUGUGGGAGGUAUCGACCCCUUCCGUGCCGGAGUUAACGCAAUAAGUACCCCGCCUGGGGAGUACGGCCGCAAGGCUUAAACUCAAAUGAAUUGACGGGG